rnacentral:rRNA from 1 species
ACUCCUACGGGAGGCAGCAGUGGGGAAUAUUGCACAAUGGGCGCAAGCCUGAUGCAGCCAUGCCGCGUGUGUGAAAGAAGGCCUUCGGGUUGUAAAGCACUUUCAGUUGUGAGGAAGGUGGUGUCGUUAAUAGCGGCAUCAUUUGACGUUAGCAACAGAAGAAGCACCGGCUAACUCCGUGCCAGCAGCCGCGGUAAUACGGAGGGUGCGAGCGUUAAUCGGAAUUACUGGGCGUAAAGCGCAUGCAGGUGGUUUGUUAAGUCAGAUGUGAAAGCCCGGGGCUCAACCUCGGAACUGCAUUUGAAACUGGCAGACUAGAGUACUGUAGAGGGGGGUAGAAUUUCAGGUGUAGCGGUGAAAUGCGUAGAGAUCUGAAGGAAUACCGGUGGCGAAGGCGGCCCCCUGGACAGAUACUGACACUCAGAUGCGAAAGCGUGGGGAGCAAACAGGAUUAGAUACCCUGGUAGCACAGAG